AUUGAACGCUGGCGGCAUGCCUUACACAUGCAAGUCGAACGGCAGCACGGGUGCUUGCACCUGGUGGCGAGUGGCGAACGGGUGAGUAAUACAUCGGAACGUACCUUAUCGUGGGGGAUAACGCAGCGAAAGUUGCGCUAAUACCGCAUACGCCCUGAGGGGGAAAGCGGGGGACCGUAAGGCCUCGCGCGAUUAGAGCGGCCGAUGUCUGAUUACCUUGUUGGUGAGGUAAAAGCUCACCAAGGCGAUGAUCAGUAGCUGGUCUGAGAGGACGAUCAGCCACACUGGGACUGAGACGCGGCCCAGACUCCUACGGGAGGCAGCAGUGGGGAAUUUUGGACAAUGGGGGCAACCCUGAUCCAGCAAUGCCGCGUGAGUGAAGAAGGCCUUCGGGUUGUAAAGCUCUUUUGUCAGGGAAGAAACAGCAGCUCCAACACAGUCUGCGAAUGACGGUACCUGAAGAAUAAGCACCGGCUAACUACGUGCCAGCCGCCGCCGUAA
rnacentral:rRNA from 1 species